rnacentral:rRNA from 1 species
CACUGCAAGUCGAGCGGUAGCACAGAGAGCUUGCUCUCGGGUGACGAGCGGCGGACGGGUGAGUAAUGUCUGGGAAACUGCCUGAUGGAGGGGGAUAACUACUGGAAACGGUAGCUAAUACCGCAUAACGUCGCAAGACCAAAGUGGGGGACCUUCGGGCCUCAUGCCAUCAGAUGUGCCCAGAUGGGAUUAGCUAGUAGGUGGGGUAACGGCUCACCUAGGCGACGAUCCCUAGCUGGUCUGAGAGGAUGACCAGCCACACUGGAACUGAGACACGGUCCAGACUCCUACGGGAGGCAGCAGUGGGGAAUAUUGCACAAUGGGCGCAAGCCUGAUGCAGCCAUGCCGCGUGUGUGAAGAAGGCCUUCGGGUUGUAAAGCACUUUCAGCGGGGAGGAAGGCGUUAAGGUUAAUAACCUUGGCGAUUGACGUUACCCGCAGAAGAAGCACCGGCUAACUCCGUGCCAGCAGCCGCGGUAAUACGGAGGGUGCAAGCGUUAAUCGGAAUUACUGGGCGUAAAGCGCACGCAGGCGGUCUGUCAAGUCGGAUGUGAAAUCCCCGGGCUCAACCUGGGAACUGCAUUCGAAACUGGCAGGCUAGAGUCUUGUAGAGGGGGGUAGAAUUCCAGGUGUAGCGGUGAAAUGCGUAGAGAUCUGGAGGAAUACCGGUGGCGAAGGCGGCCCCCUGGACAAAGACUGACGCUCAGGUGCGAAAGCGUGGGGAGCAAACAGGAUUAGAUACCCUGGUAGUCCACGCCGUAAACGAUGUCGAUUUGGAGGUUGUGCCCUUGAGGCGUGGCUUCCGGAGCUAACGCGUUAAAUCGACCGCCUGGGGAGUACGGCCGCAAGGUUAAAACUCAAAUGAAUUGACGGGGGCCCGCACAAGCGGUGGAGCAUGUGGUUUAAUUCGAUGCAACGCGAAGAACCUUACCUGGUCUUGACAUCCACAGAACUUUCCAGAGAUGGAUUGGUGCCUUCGGGAACUGUGAGACAGGUGCUGCAUGGCUGUCGUCAGCUCGUGUUGUGAAAUGUUGGGUUAAGUCCCGCAACGAGCGCAACCCUUAUCCUUUGUUGCCAGCGGUCCGGCCGGGAACUCAAAGGAGACUGCCAGUGAUAAACUGGAGGAAGGUGGGGAUGACGUCAAGUCAUCAUGGCCCUUACGACCAGGGCUACACACGUGCUACAAUGGCAUAUACAAAGAGAAGCGACCUCGCGAGAGCAAGCGGACCUCAUAAAGUAUGUCGUAGUCCGGAUUGGAGUCUGCAACUCGACUCCAUGAAGUCGGAAUCGCUAGUAAUCGUAGAUCAGAAUGCUACGGUGAAUACGUUCCCGGGCCUUGUACACACCGCCCGUCACACCAUGGGAGUGGGUUGCAAAAGAAGUAGGUAGCUUAACCUUCGGGAGGGCGCUUACCACUUUGUGAUUCAUGACUGGGGUGAAGUC